GGCGGGAUGGCUCAGUGGUUAGAGCGCCAAUUUACUGGUCGGAAGGUUCGCGGUUCGAAUCCGACCUCUGCCC
rnacentral:tRNA from 1 species